rnacentral:tRNA from 2 species
GCCGUUGUAACUCAGUUGGCAGAGUAUCUGAUUCGUAAUCAGAAAGUCGGAGGUUCGAUUCCUCUCAACGGCACCA